rnacentral:rRNA from 1 species
NAAAUUGAAGAGUUUGAUCAUGGCUCAGAUUGAACGCUGGCGGCAGGCCUAACACAUGCAAGUCGAGCGGAAACGAGUUAUCUGAACUUCGGGGAACGAUAACGGCGUCGAGCGGCGGACGGGUGAGUAAUGCCUAGGAAAUUGCCCUGAUGUGGGGGAUAACCAUUGGAAACGAUGGCUAAUACCGCAUGAUAGCUUCGGCUUAAAGAGGGGGACCUUUGGGCCUCUCGCGUCAGGAUAUGCCCAGGUGGGAUUAGCUNGUUGGUGAGGUAAGGGCUCACUAAGGCGACGAUCCCUAGCUUGUCUGAGAGGAUGAUCAGCCACACUGGAACUGAGACACGGUCCAGACUCCUACGGGAGGCAGCAGUGGGGAAUAUUGCACAAUGGGCGCAAGCCUGAUGCAGCCAUGCCGCGUGUGUGAAGAAGGCCUUCGGGUUGUAAAGCACUUUCAGCCGUGAGGAAGGUGGCAGUGUUAAUAGCACCAUCAUUUGACGUUAGCGCCAGAAGAAGCACCGGCUAACUCCGUGCCAGCAGCCGCGGUAAUACGGAGGGUGCGAGCGUUAAUCGGAAUUACUGGGCGUAAAGCGCAUGCAGGUGGUUUGUUAAGUCAGAUGUGAAAGCCCGGGGCUCAACCUCGGAAUUGCAUUUGAAACUGGCAGACUAGAGUACUGUAGAGGGGGGUAGAAUUUCAGGUGUAGCGGAGAAAUGCGUAGAGAUCUGAAGGAAUACCGGUGGCGAAGGCGGCCCCCUGGACAGAUACUGACACUCAGAUGCGAAAGCGUGGGGAGCAAACAGGAUUAGAUACCCUNGUCGUCCACGCCGUAAACGAUGUGUACUUGGAGGUUGUGGCCUUGAGCCGUGGCUUUCGGAGCUAACGCGUUAAGUACACCGCCUGGGGAGUACGGUCGCAAGAUUAAAACUCAAAUGAAUUGACGGGGGCCCGCACAAGCGGUGGAGCAUGUGGUUUAAUUCGAGGCAACGCGAAGAACCUUACCUACUCUUGACAUCCAGAGAACUUUCCAGAGAUGAUUGGUGCUUCGGGAACUCUGAGACAGGUGCUGCAUGGCUGUCGUCAGCUCGUGUUGUGAAAUGUUGGGUUAAGUCCCGCAACGAGCGCAACCCUUAUCCUUGUUUGCCAGCGAGUAAUGUCGGGAACUCCAGGGAGACUGCCGGUGAUAAACCGGAGGAAGGUGGGGACGACGUCAAGUCAUCAUGGCCCUUACGAGUAGGGCUACACACGUGCUACAAUGGCGCAUACAGAGGGCAGCCAACAAGCGAAAGUGAGCGAAUCCCAAAAAGUGCGUCGUAGUCCAUUGGAGUCUGCAACUCGACUCCAUGAAGUCGGAAUCGCUAGUAAUCGUGGAUCAGAAUGCCACGGUGAAUACGUUCCCGGGCCUUGUACACACCGCCCGUCACACCAUGGGAGUGGGCUGCAAAAGAAGUAGGUAGUUUAACUGCGGGGGGACGCUUACACUUUGUGGU